AACCUCGAGGCUCAGUUGGUCGAGCAUUGGGCUAUUGGACUAGUAAACCAAAGGUCGCGCCGUUGCGGGUUCGAUUCCCAUCGCGGUCA